UGCACUGAUAAGCCUCACUCCCCAGAGGACCACACACACUGUCAACACAGUCCUGGUCCACGCAAACUUCUUAAGCCCCUGGAGCGUACCCCGAUACCGCACUGCAGAGGCCCCCACCUCUCCACCAAUGCCCCCUAUAGUUCACCUGGCCCUCACACAGGCCUUGUCCCACAGAGGCAGACACCUGUAGAGGAUCAAGGCACCCAGUCAAUGCAGGCUGAAAAGUAGCCUGAGGGCUUGCUGUUAGGUGGGGUCAGUCCCUAUGGUGGGUUGCCUGCACUGGCUGAACUGGAUUAAAUCUGUGCUCUAGUGGGCAUUGCAGACCCCUGGCUAACAGGCCAAGGGAUGAACCUCAAUGGUGCCCACUGGGGCCUGUGUCAGCACACCCCUGGACCAGUUCACAACAAUGGCCCCCACCAAGGUCUCAGUCUCCGGAGAGGGCCCCCCUCUCGCCAAGAUGCCCCCAGAGCCCAUCAGUGACCCUUGAGGUGACUUCAUAGCAACUAGAGGUCUCCAUAGAUGGGAUUUGAAAGCCUUUUGUUGAGUCCAUCUCCAACUUUUCACAACUGAAGACACUGAGGAUUGGAAUUCAUGAAUGAUUUGAGCAAGAAGAUCAUACAACAAUCCAUUCCUGGGAUUUUUGUUCCCCAGCCCUCAGCUAAACAUGGUGGCUGGAAACUUCUUCAAGACAUUUUCUCCCGGUUCACUUCAUACCUUAAUCAUCUUCUUCUAGAAAUAUUCUCAGUUUUCCAUGAAAUUACCAGUCCUUUAGGGAAAUCAGUGUUCAUAGGCAAGAACAUUGGCAGACCACAGGUUGUUGCAACAUCUGUACAUUCUUGACCAGUAUUAUAUUUAUUGUUAUUGUUGUUAUCAUUUGGAGGGAUGGAGGUUGUGUGUGUGUGUUUUCAGAGUCAUGAAGGGUCUUGGCAUUUAAUUCUUUUUAAGAUCCAGAGGUUGGAAUUGUAUAGUUGAGGACACAUUUGGAUUUUAACAACUCCUUUUAGAAUGAAGUAUGAAGUAAUAUCCUAUUUAUAUCCAAGGUGAAUGCCAAAUUACAGUAUGAUGUCAUAUGUUGAAUUCCCUUAAUGAUCAGACAGGCAUGCAGCUUCCUUCAUGCACAGCUAACCCAGAGAUAAUCCAUGAACUGGAACUUCUUCAGCCCCUAGUGAUGCAGCUACAUGAUCCUGCCUUGACUUAGGUCAGGAGUGUCUGGCAGAGACUGAGACGACUCUGAUUUUGCUUGCUAUUGCUUCAGCCUUGUAGGGGAGGAAAAGGUUUUCCCUUGACUCUGUUAGGGUCCCUGACCGGGUCUGAAAAAUUAAACUGACACAGACAGAUUUACAGGAGAAAAGCAGACACAUUUAUUUAAUAUAAGUUUUAUGUGACACAGGAGCCUUCAUAAGGAAACAAAGACCCAAAGAAACACUUGGACCUGUGUAUUUUCAUGCACAUUUGAUGAAGAGUGGAUAGACGUGGAGGAUUACGAUAGGUUAAAGAGGAUGAGGUGAGGAUGUUGAAACACAGAUUGGGUCACCAGUCCAAAACCACAUGAUCAGCAGUACUAUGGAUUCCAAACACUCCGCCACCACGCUAAAUGUAGAGCUGCAGAGAAUCACAGGAUAAGAUCACCUCUAUGUGACACAGUGACUCACUGAGCUGGACGAGAAGUGAAGUCCAGGGAAGGAUUUGAAAAGAUAAAGGCUGUAGUCCAGAACUACGAGAAUGUGUGUAGCGCAGCCCUUGCAAACGGAAGGCAACAAGCAGAGAAAGAAGCUCUUUGAGUAGAAGGAGAUGCCUAGCGUCAUAAACGUUGCUAUUGACAUGAAGCUUCUUCAAGGUUCAUUAGGCAUGAAUAUUAAAUGAAGGCAAAGAAAAAUUCCAUUAACUGGAAGAGGGAAAGCAGCAAUCUCUCCCUGGUGUCAGGAGUCUAUCCUAUGAGUCUGUCAUGCCCCUGACUUGCACCGUGAAGCAGCUGUGAAAAUGUGCACGGCUGAAGUGAGAAGAAGAGGCAGUGUCAUCCGCCAAGCCUGGCUUUGAUAUGUCUGCCAUCUGAGGUUGCCACAGUCUCUGUCAGCUCUGGCGUGGCAGCUAAAAGACGCCUUUUCUCCUUACCUCGGCUCUUUUAAACACAUUUGCUAGGGGGGAAAACACUCCUCCAUUUCUACCAUUGGACUGAAGGUUUCUUAUUUGCCUUAACUCAUUAUUCACAUUUCCAUAAUGCUGGAUAAUUGCAAACCACAUAAAAAGCCAUUUUGAU
ensembl:lncRNA